ACUCUCAUCGCCACACCGUCCAGCAAGAUGGGAUCCGCCAUGUCAAGAAGAACUGAUCCUGAUGCAUCAGAUCUCAUGAAGCAAAUCUCGAUGGUGGGGGAGAAGGAGCGAAUACAUUAAUCAGGUGCAGGAUCGAAUGACUGGCCAUUAAGUAGACUACAUUUACUCUCUGUGGGAGAGUUCCAGUUUAAUUUGCAAUUCCAACAUGAUUCGUACGUUCAUUGUUUGAUGAUGUAUAGUUUUAGCUUCCAGAAACUAGCAUCACUUUCGCCUAGUACUUCCCAAGCAAAAUGACAUAUCUAUGUGGAUUUUUACUUUAUUGGUUCUGGCUUCACAUGACUUAGUGCGACUGACAAGGCAUAUU